rnacentral:rRNA from 1 species
ACCACUUUGUGAUUCAUGACUGGGGUGAAGUCGUAACAAGGUAACCGUAGGGGAAUCUGCGGUUGGAUCACCUCCUUACCUUAAAGAAGC